rnacentral:rRNA from 1 species
UACGUAGGGUGCAAGCGUUAAUCGGAAUUACUGGGCGUAAAGCGUGCGCAGGCGGUUGUGCAAGACCGAUGUGAAAUCCCCGGGCUCAACCUGGGAACUGCAUUGGUGACUGCACGGCUAGAGUGUGUCAGAGGGGGGUAGAAUUCCACGUGUAGCAGUGAAAUGCGCAGAGAUGUGGAGGAAUACCGAUGGCGAAGGCAGCCCCCUGGGAUAACACUGACGCUCAUGCACGAAAGCGUGGGGAGCAAACAGG